CGGGCAGGUGGUUCGUUAAGUCGUCUGUGAAAACCCGGGGCUCAACCCCGUGGAAUGCAGGCGAUACUGGCGAGCUAGAGAUCGGUAGAGGCUAGCGGAAUUCCUGGUGUAGCGGUGGAAUGCGUAGAUAUCAGGAAGAACACCAGUGGCGAAGGCGGCUAGCUGGGCCGAGUCUGACACUCAUCCGCGAAAGCGUGGGGAGCAAACAGGAUUAGAUACCCUGGUAGUCC
rnacentral:rRNA from 1 species